UGGGAUGUAGCUCAAUGGUAGAGCACUUGCCUCACAAGUGUGAGGCCCUGAGUUUGAUUCUUAGAAUUGCAA
rnacentral:tRNA from 1 species